UUACCUAGGGAGAAAAAAAAAUCCAUUUUAAUAAGGUUGACUUUAAGAAAGAAGGUUGAGGAGAUGAUAAAAAUACGAAAUGUCCAGACUCCACUGGAUUGGAACAGGCCUUCGGUCACACUGGAACCACACCAUUGGCUCUCUCAGGUCUCCAGUUUGCUAGAUGUUCCAGCUUGCCCACUGAAGAUCUUGGACUUCUCAGCUUCCAUAAUUUCACGAGCCAAUUCCUAUUCCAUAUAGUAAAUCAACCUGUGUGUGUGUUA